ensembl:lncRNA
GAGCCACCAUUCAAACUUUAAAACGAAGACAAGACAUUCAACUAUUCAACUUGUAUUUAUCUUUUCAAUAUCUAUUAUACUUUUUCUUCAGUUCCAGUUUAAGUUUCAUGAUGUUUUUUCACCCGUUUCAAAAUUUAUAAUGGGUGUGUAUGGGACGGAAUGUUGGGGCUAGAGUGAGACAGCUCAACUGCUAGAGUGAGAGGAGCAAAAAAAUUUAUCUUAAAAUCUUUUUUAAAACUGCUGCUGUGUCCGCAGCGUUUGCUCUACAGGUAUGAUUUUACCCUCAAAACGUAGCCAUCGCUGUCCUCUUUCAUCCAAUGUGUUUACUAUUGUACUAGGUGUUAUGGUUCUUUCAUAAAUGUCACCAAUGCACAGCCUCCUCCCUCCAACUCUUCCAUAGACUCUAAUGUUAAAAUGGCUCAGAAGGUUCGUUUGAAAAUCAGAAGAGCAUGGUGUCUUUACACUGUCACCACGUCCAUAUAAUAAGCUCCACAGGCAUGAAAACUGAGAAUUAGGUAGACUAGACAUGGCUGUCGCUCACGGUGAAAGAAUUUUGUCAGUACGACAUGUACUUUUCAUUUGGGAACGAUUUGUUUCGGCCUGACUUUUCUGUUCAUUUUAAGCAGCAAAAGUGAGGCGCAUGUCUGUGUACGUGUGUAUGGAGCCAUUGGGUGCGGUCACUAUAGCAACCAGGCUCACACCUGCCUGCUUAACGAGCUCUGCCUGCCACUGUACCAAGAUUCAUCUUAAGCACUUCUCUUUCAACUGCUGCUGUGUCCACAGUGUUAAAGCCAUCAUUUUACCCUCAAAACGUCGCCAUCGUUGUUCUCUUUCCAACAUCUUGUCUUUCAAAGCUCAGACAUUUAAACUUUUUAAACUGUGUGGAUCCAAGUGGAGGGAUCACAUUUUAGUCAUUCAGUGAUUCAAAGAAUAUGACCUUUUAAUAUUCUUUCAGAUGUUUUCUGACUCUAAAUGUUCUUUUCUCAUUUCUUAGGUUUUUCUAAUUUGCAAUUAAAACAUUUUCAGCUUUUUUCCAACUUCUUCUUCUGUGUAACCUUCAGCUUUUAGCAGUUACGCACUUUUGUUUUCAGGUUAAAUUCGGGUUUUUUUUUAAAAUCUCAUUCAAAAUUUUUAACUUAAAUUCAGUAAUUAUUUCAUUUCAAUGCAUACAUUCAGAUUCAAGCAUUCACACUGCAGUUUCUUCAGAAAAUGCACUUUCUAGUUAGUGUGAAUGCUUGAAAAGCAUUCACAGUAUUGUUAUUCUAAUCUUUAUUAUUAUUAGUGUGAAUGCUUGAAAAGCAUUCACAGUAUUGUUAUUCGAAUCUUUAUUAUUAUUAUUAUAUAUUCCGUACGUUUUUUGGCAUCUCACUCCUUCAAAACCGUUCAACUUAGAAAAACCAUUCAAACACCGUUAGAUUCCUAUUCUUUUGGACAACACUGCUUCUAUUUUUCAUAUUUUUAACAUUUAUAUUUUUAAUUUUAUUCAACUUUAUUCAACAAAAAUUUAUAAUGUAUUUCAAUGGGGAGACCCUUCAAAUCCUCAUUCAACUUACUCAUUUUUAAACUCUUACUACUUCCACAUACAUUGACAUAGAGCCACCAUUCAAACUUUAAAACGAAGACAAGACAUUCAACUAUUCAACUUGUAUUUAUCUUUUCAAUAUCUAUUAUACUUUUUCUUCAGUUCCAGUUUAAGUUUCAUGAUGUUUUUUCACCCGUUUCAGAGUUUAUAAUGGGUGUGUAUGGGACGGAAUGUUGGGGCUAGAGUGAGGCAGCUCAAC